GGAGGAGUCAUUUGGUGACUUUUGAGUGAAAUCCAAUGGCUAAAGCUAUGCAAUACACUAACCACUCCAUUUCAGAACGAACUUCGUACGAACCUGAAUUGUCCAAUUUCAUGGACCAAUCGAUAUUGGAUUGAGUCCAAAACUUGGGGAACAUCAUAAUAUGGUGGGAGAAGUCAUUUGGCGGGUUUUGAGUGAAAUCCAAUCUGUACAACUAUGUAACACACCAACCACUCCAUUUCAUAACGAACUUCGUACGAACAUGAAUUGUCCAAUUUCAUAGACCAAUCGAUAUCG
rnacentral:lncRNA from 1 species